rnacentral:lncRNA from 1 species
AUGCCCAAAUCCAAGCAUGACAAGGAAGUCCCUAACCAAAACUGCCAAGAAAGGCCUGGAAUUGAAACAACACCUGAUAGAAGAGCUUCGGAAACGUGUGGACACUGAUAAGUACCUUUCCAUCUCUCUGUGGCCAACACGUGGAACAGCAAGCUGAAGGACAUCCGGAAUGCCUGGAAGCACAGCCGGAUGUUCUUUGGCAAAAACAAGGUGAUGAUGGUGGCCUUGGGUCGGAGCCCAUUGGGUGAGUGCAAAGACAACCUGCACCAGGUCAGCAAAAGGUUGAGGGGUGAAGCGGAUCUCCUGUUCACCAACCACUGGAAGGAGGAGGUGAAUGAGUGGUUCACAGAAUACACGGAAAUGGACUUCAGCUGAGCUGUAACAAAGCAGCUUUCACCGUGAGCCUGGACCCAGGGCCCCUGGAGCAGUUCCCCACCCCAUGAAGCCACAGCUGAGGCAGCCGGGCCUGCCCACCACCUUUGAGAGAGGUGUGGUGACCCUGCUGUCCGACAAUGAGGUGUGCAAGGAGGGCCACCUGCUGGCCCCGGAGCAGGCUGGUGUUCUGAUGCUUUCUGGGUAUGAGAUGGCUGAAUUUAAGGUGACCAUCAAAUACAUGUGGGAUGUACAGUCAGGAAGGGUCCAGCAGAUGGGAGACGACCUGCCAGAGAGCUCAUCCAACUCAGCAGAAGAAUCAAGACUCAGACGAUGAU